AAGUCGUAACAAGGUUUCCGUAGGUGAACCUGCGGAAGGAUCAUUACCGAGAAGUCUCGCGAAAGCGGACCCUCCAACCCUUUGUGUACCCCAAUUCUGUUGCUUUGGCGGGGCGCGGCCCCUGGCGUCCCUCGCUGGCCGAGGGUACCGCCACGCCCCUCCGGCCCCCGGGCUGGAGAGCACCCGCCAGAGACCCCAACAACUCUCACCAACGGUGCGGUCUGAAGCAAGCUUUACGCAACCAAAUCAAAACUUUCAACAACGGAUCUCUUGGUUCUGGCAUCGAUGAAGAACGCAGCGAAAUGCGAUAAAUAAUGUGAAUUGCAGAAUUCAGUGAAUCAUCGAGUUUUUGAACGCACAUUGCGCCCGCUGGUACUCCGGCGGGCACACCUGUUCGAGCGUCAUUUCAAACCUCAAGCCACGCUUGGUGUUGGGCGUCCGCCCCCGGCUGCGGGGCGCGCCUGGAACCCGUCGGCGGUGCGGUUGCACCCGGGUCGAGAGUAGCAAGCCCCCCAAAAGGCGUCUCUCGUGCCCGGUGCCCGCGCCCGCCGCUCCAACCACACUUCUCAAGUUUGACCUCGGAUCAGGUGGGGAUACCCGCUGAACUUAAGCAUAUCAAUAAGCGGAGGAAGAGAAACCAACAGGGAUUGCCCUAGUAACGGCGAGUGAAGCGGCAACAGCUCAAAUUUGAAAUCUGGCGCUUGCGUCCGAGUUGUAAUUUGUAGAGGGUGGCUCGGGUACGUCCCCGUCUAAGUCCCCUGGGACGGGGCGUCGUAGAGGGUGAGAAUCCCGUAUGCGACGGGGUGACGCGCCCGUGUGAGUCCCCUUCGACGAGUCGAGUUGUUUGGGAAUGCAGCUCUAAAUGGGAGGUAAAUUCCUUCUAAAGCUAAAUACUGGCCAGAGACCGAUAGCGCACAAGUAGAGUGAUCGAAAGAUGAAAAGCACUUUGGAAAGAGAGUUAAAAAGCACGUGAAAUUGUUGAAAGGGAAGCGCUCACGACCAGACUCGGGUGCGGCUGCUCAGCCUGUCUUCUGACUGGUGCAUCAGCCGUGCCCGGGCCAGCAUCGGUUCGGGCGGCCGGAUAAAGGCCUCGGGAACGUGGCUCCCCUCGGGGAGUGUUAUAGCCCGGGGUGCAAUGCGGCCUGCCCGGACCGAGGACCGCGUUCGCUAGGAUGCUGGCGUAAUGGUCGUUAGCGGCC
rnacentral:rRNA from 1 species